AUAUCACUAACUGAAAUACAGUGAAAAAGAAAUAUUUUUGUUUUCUAAUUAUAUAUUAACAAUAACAAUAUUGAAAAUGAAAAGCUUGUUUGUCGUUCUCGCCUUCUUCCUCGUCACAUUAAUUUGUGUUACCAGGAGUAACCCUUUGAAUGAUAUAGAGCAACAUGACAUGAAGAGUGUCGUUGAUUCAUCGACGGAGGUAGUGGAGCUAUUCAGUGGCGCGGGAGUCUCUCGUCAACGUAUCUGUACGGCAGCGCUGUGUCGCAGUGUGUGUCAGUCACUCGGAUUCCCGAUAUCCUUCUGCAACAUUCAACUCAUCUGUGUCUGCAGACGUUAAUAUAAAUCCAUGUACAAUGUUCUACAAAUAUGCUCACUAUUUUUAUGUGUCAAAUAAAUUCUUAUAUGUUUUAA